AGUGAACGCUGGCGGUAGGCCUAACACAUGCAAGUCGAACGGCAGCACAGUAAGAGCUUGCUCUUACGGGUGGCGAGUGGCGGACAGGUGAGGAAUACAUCGGAAUCUACUUUUUCGUGGGGGAUAACGUAGGGAAACUUACGCUAAUACCGCAUACGACCUACGGGUGAAAGCAGGGGAUCUUCGGACCUUGCGCGAUUGAAUGAGCCGAUGUCGGAUUAGCUAGUUGGCGGGGUAAAGGCCCACCAAGGCGACGAUCCGUAGCUGGUCUGAGGGGAUGAUCAGCCACACUGGAACUGAGACACGGUCCAGACUCCUACGGGAGGCAGCAGUGGGGAAUAUUGGACAAUGGGCGCAAGCCUGAUCCAGCCAUACCGCGUGGGUGAAGAAGGCCUUCGGGUUGUAAAGCCCUUUUGUUGGGAAAGAAAGGCAGCAGGUUAAUACCCCGCUGUUCUGACGGUACCCAAAGAAUAAGCACCGGCUAACUUCGUG
rnacentral:rRNA from 1 species